rnacentral:rRNA from 1 species
GGGAAUAUUGGACAAUGGGCGAAAGCCUGAUCCAGCAACGCCGCGUGAGGGAUGACGGCCUUCGGGUUGUAAACCUCUUUCAGUAUCGACGAAGCGCCCUGUCGGGUGGUGACGGUAGAUACAGAAGAAGGACCGGCCAACUACGUGCCAGCAGCCGCGGUAAUACGUAGGGUCCGAGCGUUGUCCGGAAUUAUUGGGCGUAAAGGGCUCGUAGGCGGUUUGUCGCGUCGGGAGUGAAAACCAGGUGCUUAACACCUGGCUUGCUUUCGAUACGGGCAGACUAGAGGUAUGCAGGGGAGAACGGAAUUCCUGGUGUAGCGGUGAAAUGCGCAGAUAUCAGGAGGAACACCGGUGGCGAAGGCGGUUCUCUGGGCAUGACCUGACGCUGAGGAGCGAAAGUGUGGGGAGCAAA